AGAGUUUGAUCCUGGCUCAGGACGAACGCUGGCGGCGCGCCUAAUCCAUGCAAGUCGAGCGACGCAUUCCUUAGCCCGUAAGGGCGGGUUUGACGGAGCGGCGAACGGGUGCGUAACACGUGACCAAUCUGCCCCGAAGACCGGGAUAGCCCGGGGAAACCCGGAUUAAUACCGGAUGACCUCAUCAUCACGCAUGUGGAGAUGAGCAAAGGUUCAGGCGCUUCGGGAUGAGGUCGCGGCCCAUCAGCUUGUUGGUGAGGUAACGGCUCACCAAGGCAAUGACGGGUAGCUGGUCUGAGAGGACGAUCAGCCACACUGGAACUGAGGUACGGUCCAGACUCCUACGGGAGGCAGCAGGAGGGAAUCUUGCGCAAUGGGCGAAAGCCUGAUGCAGCGACGCCGCGUGGGGGAUGAAUGCCUUAGGUUGUAAACCCCUUUCACGAAGGAAGAAACUGACGGUACCUCGAGAAGAAGCCCCGGCCAACUACCUGCCAACANCCGCGGUAAUACGUAAGGGGC
rnacentral:rRNA from 1 species